rnacentral:rRNA from 1 species
AACGAACGCUGGCGGCAUGCCUAACACAUGCAAGUCGAACGAGACCUUCGGGUCUAGUGGCGCACGGGUGCGUAACGCGUGGGAACCUGCCCUUAGGUUCGGAAUAACUCCCCGAAAGGGGUGCUAAUACCGGAUAAUGUCUUCGGACCAAAGAUUUAUCGCCUUUGGAUGGGCCCGCGUUGGAUUAGCCAGUUGGUAGGGUAAAAGCCUACCAAGGCGACGAUCCAUAGCUGGUCUGAGAGGAUGAUCAGCCACACUGGGACUGAGACACGGCCCAGACUCCUACGGGAGGCAGCAGUGGGGAAUAUUGGACGAUGGGCGAAAGCCUGAUCCAGCAAUGCCGCGUGAGUGAUGAAGGCCUUAGGGUUGUAAAGCUCUUUUACCCGGGAUGAUAAUGACAGUACCGGGAGAAUAAGCACCGGCUAACUCCGUG